rnacentral:tRNA from 1 species
GGCGAGGUAGCUCAGUUGGUUAGAGCGCAGGAUUCUUAUCCGCUAGCUAGCGGACGGCAGUGCAAAUCUGCUUAUCGCUU